GCCAGGGGAUGACUUGUGGAUAGGGGUGAAAGGCUAAUCAAGCCUGGUGAUAGCUGGUUCUCCCCGAAAGCUAUUUAGGUAGCGCCUCGGACGAAUACCAUAGGGGGUAGAGCACUGUUUCGGCUAGGGGGUCAUCCCGACUUACCAAACCGAUGCAAACUCCGAAUACCUAUGAGUACUAUCCGGGAGACAGACUGCGGGUGCUAACGUCCGUAGUCAAGAGGAAAACAAUCCAGACCGCCAGCUAAGGCCCCAAAAUCAUAGUUAAGUGGGAAACGAUGUGGGAAGGCAUAGACAGCUAGGAGGUUGGCUUAGAAGCAGCCACCCUUUAAAGAAAGCGUAAUAGCUCACUAGUCGAGUCGGCCUGCGCGGAAGAUGUAACGGGGCUAAAACUAUGUGCCGAAGCUGCGGAUUUGACAUUAGUCAAGUGGUAGGGGAGCGUUCUGUAAGCCGAUGAAGGUGUAUUGAGAAGUAUGCUGGAGGUAUCAGAAGUGCGAAUGCUGACGUGAGUAACGACAAAACGGGUGAAAAACCCGUUCGCCGAAAGACCAAGGGUUCCAGUCCAACGUUAAUCGGGGCUGGGUGAGUCGACCCCUAAGGCGAGGCCGAAAGGCGUAGUCGAUGGGAAAUUGGUUAAUAUUCCAAUACUUCUGUGUAAUGCGAUGAGAGGACGGAGAAGGUUAAGUCAGCCUGGCGUUGGUUGUCCAGGUGGAAGGAUGUAGGUAUGUAUCUUAGGCAAAUCCGGGGUACUCUAUACUGAGAUCCGAUAGCAAGCUGUACUUGUACAGCGAAGUGGCUGAUACCAUGCUUCCAGGAAAAGUCUCUAAGCUUCAGUUACACAGGAAUCGUACCCGAAACCGACACAGGUGGUCAGGUCGAGUAGACCAAGGCGCUUGAGAGAACUCUGCUGAAGGAACUAGGCAAAAUGGUACCGUAACUUCGGGAGAAGGUACGCUGUUGUUGGUGAUGGAACUUGCUUCCUGAGCUGACGACAGCCGCAGAAACCAGGCCGCUGCRACUGUUUAUUAAAAACAYAGCACUCUGCAAACACGAAAGUGGACGUAUAGGGUGUGAYGCCUGCCCGGUGCYGGAAGGUUAAUUGAUGGGGUUAGCGYAAGCGAAGCUCUUGAUCGAAGCCCCRGUAAACGGCGGCCGUAACUAUAACGGUCCUAAGGUAGCGAAAUUCCUUGUCGGGUAAGUUCCGACCUGCACGAAUGGCAUAAUGAUGGCGGCGCUGUCUCCAGCAGAGGCUCAGUGAAAUCGAAAUCGCUGUGAAGAUGCAGUGUACCCGCGGCUAGACGGAAAGACCCCGUGAACCUUUACUACAGCUUGGCACUGAACAUUGACCCUACAUGUGUAGGAUAGGUGGGAGGCUUUGAAGUUGGAACGCUAGUUCCAAUGGAGCCGUCCUUGAAAUACCACCCUGGUAAUGUUGAGGUUCUAACUCUGUCCCGUUAUCCGGGACGAGGACCGUGUCUGGUGGGUAGUUUGACUGGGGCGGUCUCCUCCUAAAGAGUAACGGAGGAGUACGAAGGUGCGCUCAGCGUGGUCGGAAAUCACGCGUAGAGUAUAAAGGCAAAAGCGCGCUUAACUGCGAGACCCACAAGUCGAGCAGGUACGAAAGUAGGUCUUAGUGAUCCGGUGGUUCUGUAUGGAAG
rnacentral:rRNA from 1 species